rnacentral:rRNA from 1 species
ACCAUGCUGAAUAUACCGGUUCUCGUUAGAUCACCGAAGUCAAGCAUCAUUGGGUGCGGUCAGUACUUGGGUGGGUGACCACCUGGAAACACUGGGUGCCGUU